AAAUUUGAAAUCUGGCCCUAGGGUCCGAGUUGUAAUUUGUAGAGGAUGCUUUUGGGCAGUCUUCCGGUCUAAGUUCCUUGGAACAGGACGUCAUAGAGGGUGAGAAUCCCGUAUGUGACCGGCUAGGCACCCUCCGUAAAGCUCCUUCGACGAGUCGGGUUGUUUGGGAAUGCAGCCCUAAAUUGGAGGUAAAUUUCUUCUAAAGCUAAAUACCGGCCAGAGACCGAUAGCGCACAAGUAGAGUGAUCGAAAGAUGAAAAGCACUUUGGAAAGAGAGUUAAAAAGCACGUGAAAUUGUUGAAAGGGAAGCGCUUGCAAUCAGACUCGGCUUUGGCUGUUCAGCCGGUCUUCUGACCGGUCCAUUCAGUCUUUGUCGGCCCAGCGUCAGUUUCGGCGGCCGGAUAAAGGCCCUGGGAACGUAGCUCCCUCGGGAGUGUUAUAGCCCAGGGUGUAAUACGGCCAGCCGGGACUGAGGUCCGCGAUUCGUCUAGGACGCUGGGGUAAUGGUUGUAAGCGGCCCGUCUUGAAACACGGACCAAGGAGUCUAACAUCUAUGCGAGUGUUUGGGUGUCAAACCCCUACGCGUAAUGAAAGUGAACGGAGGUGGGAACCCGCAAGGGUGCACCAUCGACCGAUCCUGAUGUCUUCGGAUGGAUUUGAGUAAGAGCAUAGCUGUUGGGACCCGAAAGAUGGUGAACUAUGCCUGAAUAGGGUGAAGCCAGAGGAAACUCUGGUGGAGGCUCGC
rnacentral:rRNA from 1 species